ensembl:rRNA 5S_rRNA 5S ribosomal RNA
GUCUACAGCCAUGCCACCCAUAAAAAGCCUGAUCUCGCUUGAUCUUGGAAGCUAAGCAGGGUUGGACUUGGUUAGUACUUGGAUGGGAGACCACCUAGGAAGACUGGGCACUGUAGGCG